GACGAACGCUGGCGGCGUGCUUAACACAUGCAAGUCGAGCGGAGAUAUAUUGAAGAUUUAUCGGAUAUAUAUCUUAGCGGCGGACGGGUGAGUAACGCGUGGGCAAUCUGCCUCAUACAGGGGGAUAACACUGGGAAACUAGUGCUAAUACCGCAUAAAAUAAUGAAGUGGCAUCACUUUAUUAUCAAAGGAGCAAUCCGGUGUGAGAUGAGCCCGCGUCCGAUUAGCUAGUUGGUGGGGUAACGGCCUACCAAGGCGACGAUCGGUAGCCGAACUGAGAGGUUGAUCGGCCACAUUGGGACUGAGACACGGCCCAGACUCCUACGGGAGGCAGCAGUGGGGAAUAUUGCGCAAUGGGGGAAACCCUGACGCAGCAACGCCGCGUGAAGGAUGAAGGUUUUCGGAUUGUAAACUUCUUUGAUGAGGGACGAUAAUGACGGUACCUCAAAAACAAGCCACGGCUAACUACGUG
rnacentral:rRNA from 1 species